rnacentral:rRNA from 1 species
UACCUUUUGUAUAAUGGGUCAGCGACUUAUAUUCUGUAGCAAGGUUAACCGAAUAGGGGAGCCGCAGGGAAACCGAGUCUUAAUUGGGCGUUAAGUUGCAGGGUAUAGACCCGAAACCCGGUGAUCUAGCCAUGGGCAGGUUGAAGGUUGGGUAACACUAACUGGAGGACCGAACCGACUAAUGUUGAAAAAUUAGCGGAUGACCUGUGGCUGGGGGUGAAAGGCCAAUCAAACCGGGAGAUAGCUGGUUCUCCCCGAAAGCUAUUUAGGUAGCGCCUCGUGAAUUCAUCUCCGGGGGUAGAGCACUGUUUCGGCUAGGGGGCCAUCCCGGCUUACCAACCCGAUGCAAACUGCGAAUACCGGAGAAUGUUAUCACGGGAGACACACGGCGGGUGCUAACGUCCGUCGUGAAGAGGGAAACAACCCAGACCGCCAGCUAAGGUCCCAAAGUCAUGGUUAAGUGGGAAACGAUGUGGGAAGGCCCAGACAGCCAGGAUGUUGGCUUAGAAGCAGCCAUCAUUUAAAGAAAGCGUAAUAGCUCACUGGUCGAGUCGGCCUGCGCGGAAGAUGUAACGGGGCUAAACCAUGCACCGAAGCUGCGGCAGCGACGCUGAUGCGUUGUUGGGUAGGGGAGCGUUCUGUAAGCCUGUGAAGGUGUGUCGUGAGGCAUGCUGGAGGUAUCAGAAGUGCGAAUGCUGACAUAAGUAACGAUAAAGCGGGUGAAAAGCCCGCUCGCCGGAAGACCAAGGGUUCCUGUCCAACGUUAAUCGGGGCAGGGUGAGUCGACCCCUAAGGCGAGGCCGAAAGGCGUAGUCGAUGGGAAACGGGUUAAUAUUCCCGUACUUGGUGUUACUGCGAAGGGGGGACGGAGAAGGCUAUGUUGGCCGGGCGACGGUUGUCCCGGUUUAAGCGUGUAGGUGUGUGUUCCAGGUAAAUCCGGUUCACUUUAACACUGAGGCGUGAUGACGAGGCACUACGGUGCUGAAGCAACAAAUGCCCUGCUUCCAGGAAAAGCCUCUAAGCAUCAGGUAACAUCAAAUCGUACCCCAAACCGACACAGGUGGUCAGGUAGAGAAUACCAAGGCGCUUGAGAGAACUCGGGUGAAGGAACUAGGCAAAAUGGUGCCGUAACUUCGGGAGAAGGCACGCUGACAC